rnacentral:rRNA from 1 species
UAGGUAGCUUAACCUUCGGGGGGGCGCUUACCACUUUGUGAUUCAUGACUGGGGUGAAGUCGUAACAAGGUAACCGUAGGGGAACCUGCGGUUGGAUCACCUCCUUA